rnacentral:rRNA from 1 species
ACGGGUGAGUAAUGCCUAGGAAUCUGCCUGGUAGUGGGGGAUAACGCUCGGAAACGGACGCUAAUACCGCAUACGUCCUACGGGAGAAAGCAGGGGACCUUCGGGCCUUGCGCUAUCAGAUGAGCCUAGGUCGGAUUAGCUAGUUGGUGAGGUAAUGGCUCACCAAGGCGACGAUCCGUAACUGGUCUGAGAGGAUGAUCAGUCACACUGGAACUGAGACACGGUCCAGACUCCUACGGGAGGCAGCAGUGGGGAAUAUUGGACAAUGGGCGAAAGCCUGAUCCAGCCAUGCCGCGUGUGUGAAGAAGGUCUUCGGAUUGUAAAGCACUUUAAGUUGGGAGGAAGGGCAGUUACCUAAUACGUGAUUGUUUUGACGUUACCGACAGAAUAAGCACCGGCUAACUCUGUGCCAGCAGCCGCGGUAAUACAGAGGGUGCAAGCGUUAAUCGGAAUUACUGGGCGUAAAGCGCGCGUAGGUGGUUUGUUAAGUUGAAUGUGAAAUCCCCGGGCUCAACCUGGGAACUGCAUCCAAAACUGGCAAGCUAGAGUAUGGUAGAGGGUGGUGGAAUUUCCUGUGUAGCGG